GGGGACUUAGCUCAGUGGUCGAGCACUUGCCUAGCAACCAUAAGGCCCUGGGUUCAAUUCUCAGCUCCG
rnacentral:tRNA from 1 species